rnacentral:misc_RNA from 1 species
ACACUGGCCGGCAAGCCGCUCGCAGCCGCCAUUUUGUCCGUCUUCCUGCUACCGCUUGUCGCUCGUGUGUUCGUUGAUGAGGUGGAACAUAAAGAGCGCGUAAGGUUUCGCGCCCAAGCUCCCAAGCUUUUCCACAUUGAAUUGCGGCUUCAAGGAACGGCCUCACAAUGAAUUACGGCCGGGCACCGCCACAGAUCGACGGCAUGACGUCGUUGAAGGUGGACAACCUCACGUAUCGCACCACGCCGGAGGACCUGAAGCGGGUCUUCGAAAAGUACGGGGACGUCGGCGACGUCUACAUACCGCGGCAUCCCUACACACGUGAAAGCCGUGGAUUCGCCUUCGUGCGAUUCUACGACAAACGCGACUGCGAGGACGCCAUGGACUCGCUGGAUGGCUACAUCCUGGAUGGCCGCGAAUUGCGCGUCCAAAUGGCGCGCUAUGGGCGGCCAUCGGACCCGUACCGCCAGUCGUCUUCGCGAAACGUCAGACCGAGCCGCCGUUCCCGUUCGAGGUCGAGGAGCCGUGGUCGCCGGUCCAGGAGCCGACGACGUUCAUCAUCUAGAAGCCGUAGGCGGUCCAGGAGCCGGUCCCGGCAUCGCCAGUCAACCUCUCGCAGGUCCAGGAGUCGUUCAAAGGAGCGUAGGCGUUCCCGCAGCCGCUCUCGCAAGAGCCGGAGCCGAUCCAGGGAUCGUCGCAAGAGUCGCAGCAAGUCCAGGGAUCGUAGUCGUAGCCGUUCUCGAAACCGUGAAGUUAAAAGGAGUCGUUCCAAGUCGAGGAACAGAAGUCGCUCAAAAUCCAGAGAUCGUAGCCGAUCUAAGGAACGUGGAGCAAAAUCCAAGCGACGCAGCCAAUCAAAGUCAAAGGGUCGUCGCAGUCGGUCAAAGUCCAAGGAACGUAGUCGGUCCAAGUCUAAGGAACGGAGCCGAUCAAAGACGAAGGAUUACCGCUCCAAUUCUGGCGAACGCAGCCACAGCAAAGAUCGCAGCCGAUCCAAAUCCAAGGAACGUGGCGAAAGCCAACACAAGAGCCGAUCAAGGUCUGCGGAACGCGGUCAGAGCCAGCGACGGAGCCGGUCCAAGUCCAAGGAACACAGUCGCUCAAACUCCAGAGACCGCAGCCGAUCUCGGGGCAACAGUCGCAGCCAGUCCAAGGAACACGGCGACGGCAAGUCACGUCGUAGCCGCAGCAGAAGCCUCCAUGACGGCAAGCAGCGAGAUCGCAGCCGUAGUCGAUCCCACAACGGAGAUGGCCGCAGCCCAUCGCAGAGCCCAAGAAAGGUGGCUGAUGAAAGGGCUGAUUCGAGGUCGCGGUCAAGGUCACGCAGCCCGGGAGAUAAGCACAGUUCACCACCUCCAGAUCCAGCAGAGUCCAACGGCGAUCAUGAGAUGCGCUCACCUGAACGAGACCGCCGCUCUCGAUCCAAAUCGCAGGACUCCAACUGAGACAUGCCCUGAGGUGUGAGGGCGUUGGUAAAAGGCGUUGGUGGCUCUGUCGAAAUGGCGGGACACCAUGUACGAGUUCCAGCUGCGCUGAGUUCGGGCGGUGGUUUCCAGAGUGCGGGACGUGUGCUGAAGCUUGCGUGCUACCCCCAACCCACUUGCUCAUCACCUCCAGGCUGUCUUUCUUUUUUUUUUUUUUUUCUAGCCAUUUGCCUCCUCCCGACUAAAUUCCAAGGACAAGUUCUAUUUGCAGAGAAAUUGGCAAAUGUCGAGGAAUGAAAUUUAAGAAGCUGACGUUUGCAUAUCCUGGGCAAACAUGUAGCUUUUGUUUUUGUUGAAAUAGGGGGAAAUUACUUGGUUGAUCUCAGUGGGCUUUCUUUAAGUGGUUAAGCUUUAUAAAAUUGCUAGCUUUCAGCAGUUAUGCAGCUUCUGAUCAGUUGUGCUGGCGUGUGCGCAAGCAAAAAUUUUAAUCCCGGCCGUGAUAUCUGUAAAAGCACACUCUUGGUACUACAAGCAAGAAUUUAGACCACAGGCUUGAUACAUGUGAGAGCACACUAUUCGUUCUACAAAUAAUUUUUACUUGGUCCUUUGAAGUAGACUUUUUUUUUUACUUUUGUUGAAUGCCUGAUGUCGUAACUGAACAACCGUUUCAAAGGUACCGCUUGAGCAGCAAAGCCUGGUUGCUCGAGGCAGCUCGCAAGAGACCGAGAAGGCCGAGCGAGCGGUUUGGGGGGCAGAAGGGUGUUGGCGGUCCGGCGGGCGGUUUGCAGCCGGAGCUGUGGCAUGCUGUUGGGUGGUGCCGGUGUGUUGCUGAUGAGCAGCGUUGCUGUGCGGGAAAACCGGCCGGGAUCCCUACCUGAGGGGGCGUGUCGUGUAGCAGCCCGGCAGUAGUUCCGGCUCGUGUUCCAGCUUUGCCCCGUGCGAUGGCGUUGCGGUGGUCCUGGCACGUUCGCUGUCCUGUGGUGCCGAGUUCCGUGUGGUGGGGCAUUUGCCGAAGGAGCUGUGUGGUUUGGUGCCACUGCUUUCUUUCUUUCUUUUCUUCUACAUUUACCUCUAGGUGUGUCGUCCCUGAAGACCAAAGGCAGCUUGCGAGCAGGAAGUUUCGGAGUAGAGUAUGCAGAGCGACUUUGUCCUUUUUUUUCUUUCUUUGGUGCCAAAGCUUGAGCUGGAUUUGUUCAUGGUAGGGCUUACUUCUAGUAACUUGAUUAGUAUGUGCAGUUCUCGAUGCCCGAAAUUUCAGCAUUGAGCAGCAAAUGUUAACUUUGCGCUGCUUCUGAAAUACUUAAAUUAACUGUCAGAGUGAAGGGUUACUUGUCAGCAUUGUUGUCAGAAAGCACCAGAUGGUCACAAUUUGUGUUCAUUUUGCUGUUGCAGAACUGAAUGUGCUGUGUGCGGGUAUCAACCGCAACCAAUGCACAGUAUUUAUUGCUGGCGCAUUUUGGAGCAGGCACUUGAUGCCACAUUGCCUACUCAGUGUGCUUGGCUUUAGUACUACAGUAUAGCAUUCAAACAGUUUGCAUAAGGUGGUAAAAACAAAAUUUUAAUUUCAGAACAUUGGGCGUAUUGGCCCAUUUUACCGUUCAAAAAGUUUACUGUUAAGCAGUCCUCGAUGUGUCUGCAUGCUCUGCUCUUAGGACUUCACAUUGGUCGUGUAGAUAACUAUAGUUCAAAAGUUGCCAUCAAAUAAAGGUCUUCAGCCUUAA